UUCCAUUAGUAUCUUCGAAAUACUCUGAAACUUUUACAACAAUUCCCAAGCUAUGAGACCUUUUGAAAUGCUCUAACCAGAUCGAGCUUCAUCAACUUCUGAUCAUCAUUUGGACAAGAUAGUUCUGAGUACCAUUUAAACUCAAAUAAGUUACCACAAUGUAGUCCUUGACUCUCUGAUGUUUUCCCCUAACUUAUAUGGUGUUGAUUGGUUUUGUUCAUCAUUUAAUUUAAUUUUCCGUGGCUUG
rnacentral:lncRNA from 1 species